AAUGUGAACUGCAAUAAAGCUGCUUAUUGCUCUGUGAUGCUGCCGUCUUGAGAUAAAGGUGCUGCUGGGCUAAAGUGCUCGGUGUGGUCGAAAGUGAUAAAGCACAAAUGGAGCCACAGCAGGCAAACUGAAAACCUGCUAAACCAGACCACAGCAAAAAAACAUGUCUUUGGCUGGUGGAGUGAUGAUGCUACCAACUCACGAUGGCGUGCAUGUUUGACGCACUGUACAAUUACUGCAUUUACAAAGUCGGCCGUGGCCUCAGAAACAUCAGUAGCGUUCCUCUUAUGCUACCAGAGGCUGCAAUGCAUGAAGCAAUGGACGUGCAUUUCUACAUUGUAAGAGGAACAAAAAAAAAAAAUGCUGUCUGUUUUUCUUUAUCUUUCAAGGCAAUCACUGAACUCCAUUCAUUUGAAAAUAUAAACAGGCAUGCACAUAAAUGGUACUCACGGUGCUUGUGCAUGCUAAAAAUAAAUGAUGCGUGGCCAAAAACACAAGGGAAGCACUUCAUAGGAGGAAAGCAAUGAUAGAUUGUAGGAAGUGUUUCCCUCUGUGUGCCGCCUGCUGUGCAUCAAUGAUUUUUAGCACACACACGAGCAUAAUGAACACCAGUUAUGUGCACCGCUGAAUAUAAACAUAAGUAAAUGACUGGAAUGAAAGCUAAGUGGACAGUGUUGGAUGAUAACACCUGAGGACGCUCACACAGAUCAAAUGCCCAACUGUCACGUGUUUAUCCACCUUAACCAAAUGAAAGCGCAAAAUAAAAUUAAUAUCAAAAUCUAUGGUAAAAAUGUCAAAAAUUACCUUGGGUCAAAGUAUAACAGUGUAUAUAUACAGUAUGUCUGACAUGUAAAUAUAUAUCAAAUAUGUAACGGUGGGUUUACUCUGCCUCUCACCAUCUCGCUGGGAAAGGCUCCAGCCACCUGCAUUGUGACCCUCAACUCAAAUACACAAGUUCAAAAACUGGAUGGAUGAAUGUAUAAUCAACAUGUUCCUUGAUGUAACUGUUCAUGUUCAUACGAGUAACAAAUGGUGCCACACAGGUAAAGCAUAAUAAAAAAAAUUAAACAUGCUGAUCAAGAACAAAAAAAACCCCACAAAAUCACCCCACCAUUAACAUGUCACAUGACCACUAACUGUGGACAUCUGGUACCCAACUCAUUAAGGACUACAGGAAUCCAAUAGGAAAAUAUAAUCACAUAAAUCCCAUAGCAAUCAGGAUUCAAAAUUCAUAUAUGAUUCCAAUAGGAAUUCUGUAUUAAAGAGGAGAAAAAAAUAAAAAAUGUAAAAAUCUUGCAAAACGUAAAAGGGAUAAUUUUCAAGGUCAAAUGCAAAACUGCUGGACAGAUGUACAGACAGAAUUUUUACAAUUAUUUCUGUGUUUACGAUUUUCAUUGCAUUAAAUCACAAAACCUUACAGUGCUUGGUGAGAUAUCUGCCUAAAGUAUACAAUUUGCUGGUUUAUUUUUAUUACUUUUCAUGAUUAUUUUAGUAAUAAUUUACAUUUUGCUCUGAGUAACGGUAUAUGGCCAGUUGUCUAUGCCACUAUACCUUGCAUAUUAGAAACUAGAAUGUGGUAAAAGUUAAAAACUGAUCCAUGGAUAAGUGAAACAGAUGUUCAGUCAGGAUGAAGGCAAUAAGGGAUAAAGACAUAAAGAGCUUGGCUACAUCAUGCAGUAUAUGGAAAGACCCCAUUAGCAGCCUUAAGUGCGCAAAUUUCACAGAAGGCCCACUGAACAUUCUGGAUAGUACCCAAUGGUGUUUUAAGAAAUCUACCACAAAAUAUUCCCUGCUUUGUCCUGUCAAGUUCGCAGUCACCUCGCUAGAUUACAGUUGACACUAUAUGCCUACCGCUUUUCCUAUAUACUACAGAGCAAGAUAGGCCUCCUUGUUCAAAUAACUUAAUAAGGCUGUAUAGAAAGCGCCUAAAGUGUGUCCAUCUAUCCUGUGUGUGUCUGGGUCCGGAGCCCAUAUUCAGUUGCAAAGCCAUGAGGUAACGCAUCACGUGAUAAAUCUCUUUCCGAACCCAAACAAACUACGCACAUGGGUUUCUCUACAGCAAUGGCUGAGCCAGUCAUUUUGUUUACACUGACAAACUUCUUUUCUUGCGCACAAGAAUGGAAUAAAAAGGGCUUGAAUUUGUAUGAUUCUGAUCAAGUAAUGUCCGUAAAUGUUGCAAAUGGUGGAGGAUGCCGGCUGCCAUUAAACGCCACAGAAGAAGAGAGGGUGCAUUAGGUUUAUGUCAGAGAAGCAUGUUUUCAGGUCGGAGUGCAUUUCUGCCUUCAAAAAAUGCAUCAAGAAUCCACAGAAAAUGCAUAAAAGUACUUACUCAUAAUUGUUGUCAGUCUGGCUAAAUUGUCAGACUCUGACCCAGAUUAGGCAGCUAAUCUCGUUUUCCACAGCGGAGCGUGCGUUUGUUUAGUAACACCGGACCGCACCUUUCUGCAUUUACAAAAUGCCUCAAAAGUGCAUAAAAGUACUUACUUUUGUCAUAUUUGUUGUCAGUCUGGGUAAAUAGUCAUAAUAAUCUCAUUUCCUCAGCGGAGCGUUCGCAAGACAAAAACAAACGUGUUUUUGCCAUGGUAAGUGGUCAGAGAUGUUAUCUCCGACCACCAUUUAGCUCCGGCACAGUGAACUGAAUAACGAGUAAUUUAUAGAUUCUUAACGAUACCCGUCUCAUUUGCAAUCACUGAUCUAAAUUAAAUACUUCUGUGAAGGUGACAUUAACAUUAUCUGUUGGGUCCACUUGGCAGUAACAUGUCUAAUAUAGUCGUGUUUAUUUACCUUAUCAGCUGUAGCCAUCUACUUUUCUCUUUGCCAUUAGUGGGAAACCUAUAGAAAGACAAAUUCGGUGACGUUUCAAGUCGAUUGGUGCACAUGGGCACACAACACUGUAGCAUUCUUUCACUGUUUACACUGCGCCACCAGAACCAAUGAGUGCAGAGAAAAACACGUUUUCUUUGUUUGGGUCCAGAAGGAGAUUUAUCACGUGACGCGUUAUGUCAGACUUUGAAACUGAAUAAAGGCAAAGAGGUGGCGUGUGGGUGAGCCCAUAUGACCUGGGCAGGACAAGCCUUGGUUCUGAUAUUUAUUCAAUCAUAUUUUGUGGGGCUGUGUGGUGGUUCUCAUGGCGUGUGUGCAUUAAACUAUAUGACCCGCUUAUUUCCUCAAUCAUGGAUUAACAACCUAACGUCAUGAAUGCCAUCACUAUUACUAUCCAAAAUUACAUUACACGAUAUUUUCACUCGACAAAAAUAUGGCGCAGGUUUUAGAUGAUCCCUUCAGAGAAUUAAGCAAACAACAAGCCAUAUUAUUACAGAUACUUGGAAUAAAAUGAACUCCCCCCCCCAAAAAAAUAAAUAAAACUGGGCCUUCACAGCAGCUGCACCUGCCAAGCUUCUGACCAACCACAGUGUUAACAAGCCCAUGCGCGCAGACACACACAAAAAACACCUGUACAAAAGCUGUCAGUUAAAGGGGCCACACUCCUAAUGUGUUAGGAUAACUGGGCUUUCAUGAAUGUGAUAAUGAUCAUGAUGAUUACGGUGUCUAAAAGACAAUAGAUAUUUAAAUUAUACCAAUGAAAUUAAUUUAACAUCUAUUUUGAUCAAAGAUAUUUUCAUUUCUUCAGCUUGCUUUAUUAGAGUACAAGUACAUUCAAAGAUGACAAUAACUAAAUGACAACACCCAUAGCCAGAAUUUAUAGUCUUUUUCGAAAGCGUUCAUUCUCUGACUAAUAUAAUACUGUCAUUGCAUUUAUUUUUUUAAAUCUUUUGCCUCAUGCAUUCUAACUAACUGGUAUUGCUGCUCGUAAUAAUAACAAAAAGAUCACAUCAAUAUCCAUGUGGAGUGCUAAAGGGUCACUCAAUAUAAUUCAUAAUGCAUCCAAUAACACCAAGAAACAGGUUUCAGACGUUAUUAGAUUAGAUAUGAGUCAAAGUAUAUGAAUCAACAACUCAGUUAAAAUUAGACUAUUUAAUACUAGGGUUUCUCUGGCAAAGCAGAAUGUUUAGUUCAAAGAGGAGUUUGGUCAGUAGGAGAUCAAACAUGGUAAAUAGCCCUGCAUUAAUAGGUUAUGUAACACACUUUUUCAGGCUUGCAGCAUUGUAAGUGUUGCGGUUAUAUAUGACAAUGCAAAACAAAGAAAUAAUCAGAAAAACUUUAGGUCUGUACAUCUGUCCAGCUGUUUUACAUUUUGCAGAUGUUAGAGUGAUCCUUGGAAUCUGCCUUUCUACAUUUUGAGACAUGUUCCCGCAAUAUUUUACAUUUGGGGGUGUUUUAAAACACUUCUUCCAGAAAUCCCUGGAGAAUUUCUGUCCCCUCUCAUAGGAUUCUUCAAGGAAAAAGGUCUUAAAAGGUUCCUAAGGGGAUUCCUACAGGCUUCUUAUCCUAUAGGAUUCCUCCAGAAUAUUCCACAAUAAAAAGUCAUUUCAGUUUCCGACAGACAUCGUGUUGGACUUUUGCAUGGCUACCAGUAUCUUGUCCAACACUUAGCCACAGUUGGCGACACAAGCAUCCCAUAACCUACACCCACCCAUAAAUUACAUUCCCCUGUAUAAAGGUUUACCAUGAUUAAAUUUUCUUGGAAGUUGCACCACUGUAUCUAUUUUUUUUUUUAAAUGGCUGCUUGUAUGAGAGAGAAGCUUUUAACAUGCUAAAGAGCUUAACCACUAAUACCAGUGUCACUUUCACCUACUGAGGUGGUGAUGGUCAAGUGGGCUUUGACCAGAGAACCCUCAGUUUAAAGCGCCAA